GAAAUGCGAUAAUUAAUGUGAAUUGCAGAAUUCAGUGAAUCAUCGAGUCUUUGAACGCACAUUGCGCCCCCUGGUAUUCCGGGGGGCAUGCCUGUCCGAGCGUCAUUGCUGCCCUCAAGCACGGCUUCUGUGUUGGGCUUCCGUCCCUGGCAACGGGGACGGGCCCAAAAGGCAGUGGCGGCACCAUGUCUGGUCCUCGAGCGUAUGGGGCUUUGUCACCCGCUCCCGUAGGUCCAGCUGGCAGCUAGCCUCGCAACCAAUCUUUUUAACCAGGUUGACCUCGGAUCAGGUAGGGAUACCCGCUGAACUUAAGC
rnacentral:misc_RNA from 1 species